GAGUUUGAUCAUGGCUCAGAUUGAACGCUGGCGGAAUGCUUUACACAUGCAAGUCGAGCGGCAGCGCGGGGCAACCUGGCGGCGAGCGGCGAACGGGUGAGUAAUGCAUCGGAACAUGUCCAUGUCGUGGGGGAUAGCCCGGCGAAAGCCGGAUUAAUACCGCAUACGCCCGAGAGGGGAAAGCCGGGGACCGCAAGGCCUGGCGCGAUUGGGUUGGCCGAUGUCCGAUUAGCUAGUUGGCGGGGUAAGAGCCCACCAAGGCGAUGAUCGGUAGCUGGUCUGAGAGGAUGAUCAGCCACACUGAGACUGAGACACGGCCCAGACUCCUACGGGAGGCAGCAGUGGGGAAUUUUGGACAAUGGGGGCAACCCUGAUCCAGCCAUUCCGCGUGAGUGAAGAAGGCC
rnacentral:rRNA from 1 species